rnacentral:rRNA from 1 species
GAGUUUGAUCCUGGCUCAGGAUGAACGCUGACAGAAUGUUUAACACAUGCAAGUCGAUGAGGAAGGGGCCUACGGGCUUUGGUACUCAUGGCGGACGGGUGAGUAACGCGUAAAGAACCUGCCUUGGGUUUUGGGAUAACAGCGGGAAACUGCUGAUAAUACCGGAUAUAAUGAACUGUACGCAUGUAUGGGACAUGAAGAGAGAUGACCUGAGAGGGCUUUGCGCCCUAUUAGCUAGUUGGAGAGGUGAAGGCUCACCAAGGCGAUGAUAGGUAGCCGGCCUGAGAGGGUGGACGGCCACAAGGGGACUGAGAUACGGCCCUUACUCCUACGGGAGGCAGCAGUGGGGAAUAUUGGACAAUGGAGGAUGACUCUGAUCCAGCAAUUCUGUGUGCACGAAGAAGGUUUUCGGACUGUAAAGUGCUUUCAGCGGGGAAGAAGGAAGUGACGGUACCCGCAGAAGAAGCGACGGCUAAAUACGUGCCAGCAGCCGCGGUAAUACGUAUGUCGCGAGCGUUAUCCGGAAUUAUUGGGCAUAAAGGGCAUCUAGGCUGUAUAUCAAGUCGGGGGUGAAAACUUGCGGCUCAACCGUGAGCCUGCCUUUGAAACUGAUAUACUGGAGUGUUGGAGAGGUGGGCGGAACUACACGAGUAGAGGUGAAAUUCGUAGAUAUGUGUAGGAAUGCCGAUGAUGAAGAUAGCUCACUGGACGACAACUGACGCUGAAGUGCGAAAGCCGGGGGAGCGAACAGGAUUAGAUACCCUGGUAGUCCCGGCUGUAAACGAUGAUCACUGGGUGUGGGCAUGUAGAGUGUCUGUGCCGAAGCUAAUGCGAUAAGUGAUCCGCCUGGGGAGUACGGCCGCAAGGCUGAAACUCAAAGGAAUUGACGGGGACCCGCACAAGCGGUGGAGCAUGUGGUUUAAUUCGACGCAACGCGAGGAACCUUACCAGAUUUUGACAUCCCCGGUAGGCGGUAUAGUUACCGCUGUGCCUUAGGGAACCGGGAGACAGGUGGUGCAUGGCUGUCGACAGCUCGUGUCGUGAGAUGUUGGGUUAAGUCCCGCAACGAGCGCAACCCCUACCGUCAGUUACCAUCAUUAAGUUGGGGACUUUGGCGGGACUGCCUGCGAAGAGCAGGAGGAAGGCGGGGAUGACGUCAAGUCAUCAUGCCCCUUAUAAUCUGGGCUACACACGUGCUACAAUGGCCGGUACAAAGAGGAGCGAUACGGUGACGUGGAGCGAAUCUCGAAAGCCGGUCCCAGUUCGGAUUGAAGUCUGCAACUCGACUUCAUGAAGUUGGAAUCGCUAGUAAUCGCGGAUCAGCAAUGCCGCGGUGAAUACGUUCCCGGGUCUUGUACACACCGCCCGUCACACCACGAGAGCUUUCUGCACCUGAAGUUACCGGUCCAACCGAGAGGAGGAAGGUACCUAAGGUGUGGACAGUGAUUGGGGUGAAGUCGUAACAAGGU